GUUUUUUGGAAGAAUACAUCAUGGAAGGGUCUUAAUAUGUGGCAGGGCUCUUAAAUUUAUUUUAAUGUAUUCAAAUUAAGUAUUUUUAAACUGUUGAGUCCAAAGUGAAAAAUUUGGGAAACUUGACAGCUAUCAAUGCUAGGUGGCAUAUUGACCUUAACUAGGAAAUGCUGUUUCUUUGAAAAAGGAAAUAGAAAUGCCCUAUGGCUGUUUCUAGCCUAAAAAACUUUGUGGGGUUCAUUCAAGGCUCUAGAUAUAAUAAAAGGCUGAGAAAACUGAAUAGUGGUAGACAGCAGAGUUCCUGUAAAUUGGACACAAAUAACCAGAGGAGCUGGCCUGUCUCUGUUACCAAAACAGCUCGGGUCCUUUGGGAAGAAAAAGCAAUUUGUUUGGCAGUCCUGCUGAGGACUGAGGUUAGAGGGAGGAAUACUACGUAUCUUCACAUUUUCAAUUGAAGAGAAAAUAGAUAGGAAACCCAUGCCAG
rnacentral:lncRNA from 1 species